UCUCUGGUGGUUUAGUGGUUAGGAUUUGGUGCUUUCAGUGCCAUGGCCUGGGUUUGAUUCCCAGUCAGGGAA
rnacentral:tRNA from 2 species